UACGGAGGGGGCUAGCGUUGUUCGGAAUUACUGGGCGUAAAGCGCGCGUAGGCGGCUUUGUAAGUUAGAGGUGAAAGCCCGAAGCUCAACUUCGGAAUUGCCUUUAAGACUGCAUCGCUAGAAUCAUGGAGAGGUGAGUGGAAUUCCGAGUGUAGAGGUGAAAUUCGUAGAUAUUCGGAAGAACACCAGUGGCGAAGGCGGCUCACUGGACCGGCAUUGACGCUGAGGUGCGAAAGCGUGGGGAGCAAACAGG
rnacentral:rRNA from 1 species